rnacentral:rRNA from 1 species
GAUGAACGCUAGCGGCAGGCUUAAUACAUGCAAGUCGAGGGGCAGCAUGGUGUAGCAAUACACUGAUGGCGACCGGCAAACGGGUGCGGAACACGUACGCAACUUACCCAAAACUGGGGAAUAGCCCGGGGAAACCCGGAUUAAUACCUCGUAAGAUAAUUGAAUGGCAUCAUUUGAUUAUUAUAGCUCCGGCGGUUUUGGAUGGGCGUGCGCCUGAUUAGGUAGUUGGCGGGGUAAUGGCCCACCAAGCCUACAAUGAGUAACUGGUGUGAGAGCGAAACCGGUCACACUGGCACUUAGACCAGGCCCCGACUCCUACGGGAGGCAGCAGUAAGGAAUAUGGGUCAAUGGACGCAAGUUUGAACCAGCCAUGCCGCGUGAAGGAUGAAGGUCCUCUGGAUUUGAAACUUCUUUUAUAUGGGAAGAAACCGGAAUUUUCUUGUUCCGUUGACGGUACCCUGGAAAUAAGCACCGGCUAACUCCGUGCCAGCCGCCGCCGUAACAC